AUCGAACGCUGGCGGCAGGCCUAACACAUGCAAGUCGAGCGCGCUGCGGACGGGGGAGUAAUGGCUGGGAAACUGCCUGAUGGAGGGGGAUAACUACUGGAAACGGUAGCUAAUACCGCAUACCAUCCGAUGUUCCAUAAUGGGAUUAGCUAGUAGGUGGGGUAACGGCUCGCCUAGGCGGCGUACCCUAGCUGGUCUGAGAGGAUGACCAGCCACACUGGAACUGAGACACGGUCCAGACUCCUACGGGAGGCAGCAGUGGGGAAUAUUGCACAAUGGGCGCAAGCCUGAUGCAGCCAUGCCGCGUGUGUGAAGAAGGCCUUCGGGUUGUAAGGCACUUUCAGCGGGGAGGCGUUACCCGCAGAAGAAGCACCGGCUAACUCCGUGCCAGCAGCCGCGGUAAUAC
rnacentral:rRNA from 1 species